CUUUUUAGAGUGUUUACUCUAAAAGUGCUACUUCUCAGAAAGGAUAUCAAUAACUGGAGAAAAGGGAGCUCUGAUUUCUGCUUGGCUGUCAAGGGUCCAGACUCAGAGACAGUCUGUGCCCCCAGAUUGCUGAGAUGCCUGGGCAAUGAGAAGCAGAGGGCAGGACUCCACCUGAGGUUGUCCUUGGGAAAUGGCCUCUGUGAAGCCAGGCUUGACUUUGCAUUCCAGCAUGUCUGGCUCUUGGAUUUUCUGCAUUGGAGCCUCAUUCUGUUUAUUGGAACCCCUUGCUAUCAUCAUGGACCCCAACCUUUCCUCACUGUUCUGCCUCCAAGGGCAAUUGUCUCCUUGGGGUGGAUGCCUGAAGUAGAGGAAGAAGUGAGCCAUUUCCAUGAAGUGGGCUAAGAAUAUUCUCACUUUACCAGUGUGCUGAACCCAGUUUCUGAAAAUGCUACAUUCACGGGACACUCGUCUCCCUUUCACCUUCAUGAAUUCUGGCCACUCGGAUUCCCGUCACAGGUCCUGGACACGCACUCUGCCAGGAGUCCAGCUCCUGGAGUGGUUGCCAUUCUGGUCAAGAGUAUCCGGGAUCCAACUAGUACAGAACUACCCUGGCUACAAGUCAGCAGUGUGAUUUCAGCUGGCACUGGGCUUGCUGCUGGAAUCACGUAGAGGAACAGUGGAGACUCAGACUUUCCACUAUAAUAAUAAACUGCAGAUGCCUAUUUAAAGCA
ensembl:lncRNA